rnacentral:rRNA from 1 species
AUUGAACGCUGGCGGCAGGCCUAACACAUGCAAGUCGAGCGGCAGCGGGAAAGUAGCUUGCUACUUUUGCCGGCGAGCGGCGGACGGGUGAGUAAUGCCUGGGAAAUUGCCCAGUCGAGGGGGAUAACAGUUGGAAACGACUGCUAAUACCGCAUACGCCCUACGGGGGAAAGCAGGGGACCUUCGGGCCUUGCGCGAUUGGAUAUGCCCAGGUGGGAUUAGCUAGUUGGUGAGGUAAUGGCUCACCAAGGCGACGAUCCCUAGCUGGUCUGGGAGGAUGAUCAGCCACACUGGAACUGAGACACGGUCCAGACUCCUACGGGAGGCAGCAGUGGGGAAUAUUGCACAAUGGGGGAAACCCUGAUGCAGCUAUGCCGCGUGUGUGAAGAAGGCCUUCGGGUUGUAAAGCACUUUCAGCGAGGAGGAAAGGUUGAUGCCUAAUACGUAUCAACUGUGACGUUACUCGCAGAAGAAGCACCGGCUAACUCCGUGCCAGCCGCCGCUGUAACAC